AACGAACGCUGGCGGCAGGCCUAACACAUGCAAGUCGAGCGAGCAUUUCGGUGCUAGCGGCGGACGGGUGAGUAACGCGUGGGAACGUGCCCUUUUCUGCGGAAUAGUCCUGGGAAACUGGGGGUAAUACCGCAUACGCCCUUUUGGGGAAAGAUUUAUCGGAGAAGGAUCGGCCCGCGUUGGAUUAGGUAGUUGGUGGGGUAAUGGCCCCCCAAGCCGACGAUCCAUAGCUGGUUUGAGAGGAUGAUCAGCCACACUGGGACUGAGACACGGCCCAGACUCCUACGGGAGGCAGCAGUGGGGAAUCUUAGACAAUGGGGGCAACCCUGAUCUAGCCAUGCCGCGUGAGUGAUGAAGGCCUUAGGGUUGUAAAGCUCUUUCAGCUGGGAAGAUAAUGACGGUACCAGCAGAAGAAGCCCCGGCUAACUCCGUG
rnacentral:rRNA from 1 species